rnacentral:rRNA from 1 species
CAAUAGCGUAUAUUAAAGUUGUUGCGGUUAAAAGCUCGUAGUUGGAUUUCUGCCGAGGACGACCGGUCCGCCCUCUGGGUGUGUAUCUGGCUCGACCUGGGCAUCUUCUUGGAGAACGUGGCUGCACUUGAUUGUGUGGUGCGGUAUCCAGGACUUUUACUUUGAGGAAAUUUGAGUGUUUCAAGCAGGCAUACGCCUUGAAAACGUUAGCAUGGAAUAAUAAGAUAGGGUCACUUCUCUAUUUUGUUGGUUUCUAGAAUCGUGACAAUGAUUAAUAGGGAUAGUCGGGGGUAUUUGUAUUCAACUGUCAGAGGUGAAAUUCUUGGAUUGUGUUACGACGAACUACUGCGAAAGCAUUUGCCAAGGAUGUUUUCAUUGAUCAAGAACGAAAGUGAGGGGAUCGAAGACGAUUAGAUACCAU